UCUCGGGGCAGGGUGAGAUUCCCUACCGGCGGUAAAGCCCGCGAGCCGUUAUGGCUGAUCUUGUGCGAUUCAAGAGCCGACAGUAAAGUCUGGAUGAUAGAGA
rnacentral:ncRNA from 1 species